rnacentral:lncRNA from 1 species
CGGAGAGCAAACACCGGGCAGAGGGCUAAGCUGCCUGAAGCUGGGAACCCCAGGGAGUGUAGACGCCGGCCUGGAUCCCGGGUCUGGGAUGGCAGACAUGAAACUUCUUGGGAAGACAUCCCUCCCCACAGGCAGGGGGUCCUCACUGGUCUCACACGGGUUGUCCCCAUGAACUUGUGGGAGCUUCACGGCUUCUGCAUCUGAGGAGCUGAUUGGAAGGGGAGGUGGCGUGCAGGCUGACAACGCGAUGCUUCGUAUUCAUCAUAAUCACAGCAACAAGACCGACUCACACCAAUGCAGCCCUUCCCGAUGCCAGGCGCUGACCUUCACACGCAGUGACGCGUCGCAUCCUCAGAACCACCCCAGGAGGUACCCUGCUAUCCUAUUCCCAUUUUACAGAUGCGGACACUGAGGCUCAGAAAAGCGGUGAAGUUUGCCCAAGGUCACACAAACUAAGAACGUCAAUGUUUGUUCUCGGGUUCAAAGAAGUCAGCGUCUUUGGCGGGAGCUGGGCCACCAUCGCCCGGACCACGCUGGGGUGCUAAGUGCUCACAUCCUCCCCAGCACUGUCCUCAACAGCCAAGAGGCAGGCACAGGGGAAAACCCACCAGCAACACCAGCACCACAGCGUCCACACCCGCCGAGGAUGCUGCACAAAAGGCCCAUGGACCAGGGUGCCUGGGGGCAGGGCAUGCUGGGCACCGUCCAUCUUCUGGCAGCUUCUGGUUAACCCGAAAAUCCUGUUUGGUUUUCCUGUGUCUUUUGAGAAUGUCACUCAAACCCCUGAAUCCUCUCUGUGAUCUAAGUGUCAUGAGGCCUGCAAAACCUCGCUUCCUGCAGCAGACUUCUCCGCUUCCUGGCCCCCAUGAAGACUGUUAUCCACAAGUAGCCAGAGGGAUUCUGUAAAAAUCAAAGUCAGGGCAGGGCCCUCCUCUGCUCAAAACCCUCCCAUGGCUCCCUACUUCACUCAGGGAGGAAGCCACGCCCAUAUUGUAGCCUCUUCCACCUCUCACACUCAUUGCACAGGCGGCCACCAAGCCCCUUUCUACCCCAGUGCCUUUGCACUUGCCACCCCCUUACUUCAUUGCAAUCCCUUCUUAGCAGAGAGGCUGACCCUGAAUUCCCUCCUGAAAUAGUGACCCUUCUCAA